GAGUGAGCAGAGCAAUCCAUCCAUACCGACCAGGGCCUUCUUUUUUUUACCAGUGUGGCAGCGUUGUUGUUCAAUCUGUUUCACUCUGACCCCAUAACCUUAGAGACGAUGGAAUCUUAUUACCUACAAUGUGAGAGUUUGAACUGGUGUGUUUGUGCUUCAGGAUUUUCCCCCAACCCACAAGUAUCUCAUUGAGUGUGUUUAACAGAUGUUUCUUAAAGAGCUGUGUUCAUAUGAGCAAGUUUUAUUUUCCCUUUCGUACUGUUUCCCCUCUAGUGUAGCGGAAUAUACAAAGAAGUCACAUGAAUGGUCUUUGGGGUUAUUUAAUGUUUUGGGAUGUGGUUUUCAAGAGUCAAGAUAAUUUGGCUCUUAAUGGCAAAUCAUUAGUGAAGAAACAGAUUUGCCAUACAAAUGGAGAUUCUGCAAAUAGUUACAUCUGUGGGAAGUUUGAUUGCCCCUGUUUCUUUCCAUUUCAAAACCAUUAAAUAUCAUUGCCUUUAGGGAUGGAAAAAUCUAUCAUUAGCUCUUUCUAUUACCUCAUGUGGGGUCAGAACCGGGAAUGACACUGUCUUUUCUGUGCUAUAAAGCACUGGCGAAUGAGUCAAAAUGUCCUUUUGGUGUCUUUGAAAGUUAACCCCUGGGGUCUAAGUCAGUCAUCAUCAGUCUUUAAUCAGAGUGUGGUAAGUGCAUAGGGAUAUUCUUGGCAUGGUCAGCAGAGAGCCUGUCACUUUCCAUGAGUCCUAUCCUGUUGUUACCUGGCAGGCUGUGUAAUCCUUGAUUUUGUUAUCCUUGAUGUAACCUGCAUAACCUAAACUAUACAAUGCCAGGCUCUCGCUUUGUGGUGGAAACUGAACGUAGUAUUUGAUGACAUUUGAACUUGAAGACUGUCAGUAAGUAGUAAAGUAGAAACGUAUCGUGGUGGUUAGUAAAUCAAUGUAUUUUAUUGUACUUUCUCUCGUGUUUGGUUACUGUAGUCUGAGAAUGUGAGUGGUGCUAGCCCCAGCCUGUACUUGUGCAUUGUUUUGUGUUCUGUUUAUUAUAAUUUUUUGCACUUCUUACCAGAAUCAAAGGGAUGAUUGGCCAAACCUUGUUGAAAGAUGGCCAAUGUUCACUGUCUGUUCAGAUUACAGUGCCUUCAGAAAGUAUUCAUACACCUUGAAAACGUGUUUUUGAAAUGUUAGGAAAUGUAUAGACCCAUUAAAUACACAUAUCUAAUUUACAUAAGUAUUCACCCCUGAGUUUAUACUUUGUAAAAUCACCUUUGGCAGUGAUUAAAAAAGAGUCUUUGUGGGUAAGUCUCUAAGCGCUUUUCACAUGAGAAUUGUGCAACAGUUUACCAUUUAUUGUUUUCAAAAUUCUUCAAGCUCUGUCAAAUUGCUUGUUGAUCGUUGCUAGACGAAGAUUUCAAGUAUAUUUAAGUCAAAACUGUAACUCGGCCACUCUGGAACAUUCACGGUCUUCUUGGUAAGCAACUCCAGUGUAGAUUUGGCCUUGUGUUUUAAGUUAUUGUCUUGCUGAAAGGUGAAUUAAUCUCCCAGUGUCUGGUGAAAAGCAGACUGAUUUUACAUGUGCUCCAUUAUGUUUCUUUUUUUUACCUGAAAAACUCCUCUGUCUUUAAUGAUUACAAGCAUACCCAUAACAUAAUGCAGUCUCCCCUAUGCUUGAAAAUAUGGAGAGUGGUACUCCGUAACGUGUUGUUUUGGAUUUAAAAACUAAGAAUAUCAAACAGGAAGUUAAAAAGAAGGCAGCUAUGAAUAAGUAUACUGACAUAGAAGAUUUGAAUAAAAUGCUGGUUGGACUCUGAUCAGGGGAGCCAUUUGGACAACAAGGAUUUUGACUCGGCUGACAAAGAUUGCUUUUUCGAAGGAUUGGAUCCACUUUUUUAGAUUUGUAAGUAAAUUCUUUUCAUCACUUUAUAUAGCUAAUUUACUAUGUAUUUCAUUUUUUACAAGUCUGCUUUUUGUGCUUUGGAUUUAGGUUACAUAGGCCUAUGUAACAAGUCAUUUCAAUGUUAUAUAAUUCCACAGUUUGCUGUUAUAAGUUUCAUCCUUGUAAUUUUAGAGGCCACUAAACUCUCAUGGCCAUUGUUUAUUUGUGGUUCUUACCAGUGCCUUUGUCUCGAAGGUGUUACUGUUUGCAUUGUGUGUGUGCGUAUUUCACACCUAUGUGAGUCACUGAACAGAAAGUUUAGGCUUGGUGUUUUUACUAUACAGUAAUGUCGUUUUGUCAAUUUAAUCAACUGUAAUUCUGUGUGUCUUUCAUCAAUAUGAUGAUGACGUUUGAGAGCCACCCCUCCCCAGUAAGCUCCCCUGCCGGUCAAGGUCUUCACCCCCCGCUGCUAUGCCAAUCACCCCAUGUGACGGUUCUACAUCCACUUUUCAUAGACCUCUUGAAAAAGAAAGUGCUUGUGGCACCAUUCGUCCUAACAUAAUUGGUUUCCCCAAGACCAAGGUAAACGACAUGACAAAGACAGUGGAGAGGGGGACCAUACGUUGGAUCAGGACUAACAAGCUACUUUUUCACUAGGGAAGUAACCUUGCUCAACACACAGCAUAAGGCAUUCAGUAACAACCAGGUCUCAAGGAGGGUGAAAAAGGAAUGAUGUCCCCAUUCCUGUUUCUGUGAAGGACUACAAUGCCAGAAUGGGGGGUGUUGACCUAUCUGGUACUCCACAAGACCAGGAAGUAGUAUGAGACUUUUUUUAACGCUUUGUGGACAUUGCUCCAGUAAAUGCUUUCAUUCUCUGCAAGCAGAUGGCCAAAGCAAAAGGUCAAACACCUCUCACCCAGUUGGCCUUCCGAGAGCAGCUGGUGUUGGAAAUGGCUGAAUUUGGGGCCCAAAGCAACCUCACAACCAUUACAAGACCCCCCACUCAAGAGAGGGACUGCUUCAAAGACUAUCACGACAUGAGCAAGCUAUGGUGAAAGUGAAAUCUAAUCAUCUACACCUGGGAUGUAACACGAAUGCCAUUUUGUAAAUUGUUCAGCUGAUUUCCAGUUUUGCACGUUUUUUUAGUGAAGGACACGUGUGUAACCAAGUUUGUGUUUGAUAAGACCUUUUUUACAAUUUUUUUUAAUGUAUAUCUGUAGCUUUUAUAUUGUUUUUGUAAACAGUUAAUUUGUGUGUGGGACCAAUACAUUGGAUACAUUGGAUAUGCCUAGGCUAAACACUUGGAAGCGUCCCGUGAGCACACCUGACACCGCUUACUAAAAUCUGCCCAUUUCUAGUUGUUAGGUCUAUCAAUCCCAUUUUUUUCCUGAUAUUGUUCACAUGUUGUGGAAGCCAUCUAAUGUGUUUCUAGCUCUGGGCAUCAGUAAUUCACUUAUAGCUUUUCAAUGAAAGAUGACUUUCAAAAUUUAAAAAAACAAUUAUUUUGUGUGUGCUUGAUCUUGUGUAUUCUGAACUACGGAACUCCUAUCUUCUGAUAAUUUCCCCAUAAUCUCCCAGAUAUCUUCUUUCCAAAUAUACCAAGAUUUUGAGAGUCAUAUCAUGUAAUUACACAUGAAUAGCAGUUACUUUUGGGUAUGUCUAUUUAGGUGGAAAUCUACAUUUUGCCGUUACAUUUUAAGAGUUUAUACACUAUUGCACAGUUGGUCCAUGAAACGUAUUAUGUUACCUGUUAAGCACAUUUUUACUCCUGAAUUUAUUUAGGCUUGGCAUAAGAAAGGGGUUGAAUACUUAUUGACUCAAGACAUUUCAGCUUUUCAUUUUUAAUAAAUUUGUAAAACAUUCGAAAAACAUGAUUCCACUUUGACAUUAUGGGGUAUUGUGUGUAGGCCAGUGACAAAACAUGUCAAUCAAUUUUCAAUUCAGGUGUGGAAAAAGUUGAGGGUUGUGAAUACUUCCUGAAGGCACUAUCUGAUUGGUCUUUGAACCUUUCUCAGCAUCCAGAGCACCAAUUUGGAGUCACGAUCCCCACUUGUUGUUUCUUGUUUUCAGUAUGUGAUGUGUUGAAUUAGCUAAGUCUAGAAUUGACAAGAUUCCUUUAGCAGAGUAUGGUCUGUGUGCUGUGUGUUCCCAGAAAUGGGUUGAACAUUUGGCUGUGAAACAUUGAUGGGCACCAUUUCCUGUUUAAAAAUUGUGUCUUUUGAAGUGGCCUGUGCACGGAAUCGAACUACACAAAAUAAAAUGAUUGUGUUUCAUAUAUUCACCCUAA